rnacentral:rRNA from 1 species
CAAUAGCGUAUAUUAAAGUUGUUGCAGUUAAAAUGCUCGUAGUUAAAGAUCGGAUCGAGUAAAGCGUUGAAUUGCAGUCUACUAUGGCGCUCUUUAAGCUUUCGACUUGUCCGUUGUGUGUAUCAGACUACUUUUGUAAUUUGAAAGCACAGUUUACUUUGAGAAACAUAGGGGUUCCAAGCAUGUUAGAGCAUGAAUAUUCCAGCAUGGGAUAAUGUGGUACGACUUUUCCUCUGCCAUUUUGGUUCGUAGAGGGUGAGUAAUGAUUAAUAGGGACUGUCGGGGGCAUUGGUAUUUGACUGUCAGAGGUGAAAUUCUUAGAUUUGAUGAGGACCGACUACUGCGAAAGCAUUUGUCAAGGAUGUCUCCAUUAA